GAAAGGACCCUCUCUCACCUUUGUCUACCAGUGCUUGGCAAGCAGCUUCAUGAAAGGAGGGAUAGAGGGGUGAAGGAGGAAGAGAGUGUUCCAAGAUGUUGACACUUCUGCUCACGGUGGUUGAAAACACAGCUUAACCUAAUCCUGAUUGAUAGAGAGCUAUCGGGAAGGACAACCACUGGGCUUCUGAGAUGACCGGCUGGAAGCCUGAACCCGCCGGAUGGUCAUCUUGCCACCGCAUGGGAAGGAAGGUUGCCUGAAUAAAGCUGACAUAGAAGGAGGCAAGCUUCCUGAGGCCUCAACCAGGAGCAGAUGCCAGCACCAUGCUUCUUGCACAACCUGCAGAACCAGAAACCAAAAUAAACUUUUCUUUAUAAAUUACCCAGCCUCACACAUUCCUUC
rnacentral:lncRNA from 1 species